rnacentral:rRNA from 1 species
GGACGGGUGAGUAACACGUGGAUAACCUACCUAUAAGACUGGGAUAACUUCGGGAAACCGGAGCUAAUACCGGAUAAUAUUUUGAACCGCAUGGUUCAAAAGUGAAAGACGGUCUUGCUGUCACUUAUAGAUGGAUCCGCGCUACAUUAGCUAGUUGGUAAGGUAACGGCUUACCAAGGCAACGAUGCAUAGCCGACCUGAGAGGGUGAUCGGCCACACUGGAACUGAGACACGGUCCAG